GACGAACGCUGGCGGCGUGCUUAACACAUGCAAGUCGAACGUGAUUUUUGUGGAAAUUCUUUCGGGAAUGGAAAUGAAAUGAAAGUGGCGAACGGGUGAGUAACACGUGAGCAACCUACCUUACACAGGGGGAUAGCCGUUGGAAACGACGAUUAAUACCGCAUGAGACCACAGAAUCGCAUGAUAUAGGGGUCAAAGAUUUAUCGGUGUAAGAAGGGCUCGCGUCUGAUUAGCUAGUUGGAAGGGUAAAGGCCUACCAAGGCGACGAUCAGUAGCCGGUCUGAGAGGAUGAACGGCCACAUUGGAACUGAGACACGGUCCAAACUCCUACGGGAGGCAGCAGUGGGGAAUAUUGCACAAUGGGGGGAACCCCUGAUGCAGCGACGCCGCGUGAGCGAAAGAAAG
rnacentral:rRNA from 1 species